GAUGAACGCUAGCGGGAGGCUUAAUACAUGCAAGUCGAGGGGUAGUCAUACUUCGGUGUGAUUAGACCGGCGCACGGGUGCGUAACGCGUAUGCAACCUGCCUCAAACCGGGGGAUAGCCCGGAGAAAUCCGGAUUAAUACCGCAUAAUAUUAUUGUCUCGCAUGGGAUGAUACUUAAAGAUUUAUUGGUUUGAGAUGGGCAUGCGUCUGAUUAGCUAGUUGGUAGGGUAAUGGCCUACCAAGGCAACGAUCAGUAGCGGGUCUGAGAGGAUGAUCCGCACACUGGUACUGAGACACGGACCAGACUCCUACGGGAGGCAGCAGUAGGGAAUAUUGGACAAUGGGCGAGAGCCUGAUCCAGCCAUCCCGCGUGCAGGAAGACUGCCCUAUGGGUUGUAAACUGCUUUUAUACAGGAGAAAAAAAGACCAAUGCGUGGUUUACUGACGGUACUGUAUGAAUAAGCACCGGCUAACUCCGUGCCAGCA
rnacentral:rRNA from 1 species